rnacentral:lncRNA from 1 species
AAAUGCUUUCUUAAAUGGAAAAAGGCACAGAAAAGCCUCGCCCUCUAGUGGCUGGAAAACUAGGAAGCAGGCAUAAAUCCUAUUUCCACUACUCUGUAUCCAGUGCAGAUCUGCUUGUAGCUUGAAUAGAUUAGUUAGUUUGAAUAACUGAAGCUUUCCUUAGUUUCAGAUCUGGAAGAAGAAAGACAACCACUAAGUCAUUUAAUAUUUGAAUUCAUUUUUCAUUGGAAGAAAAAGAGUGUUGAUAAAGAACUUGAAAGUAAAUGGAAAUGAGCUUUUAGAACAAGCUGGAGAUGGUUGCAUUAGCAGCCAUUUGAAUAAUAGGAACAGCUAUAUCUGGAUAUCUUGAGAAGAUAGAUAUUACCAGCAAAUGAAUUGGGUGAAAUUUUAAGAAGGAAGAAUUUUACCCAAUAUCAUAUACAGCACGUUUGUAUGUUGAAAACUACAUUGUAUUCCACUGGAAGAAGAGACAGCUACUGGAAUUCCAAUUCCAACAGAUUUCUCCAUGAAGAGAAAAUGAGACAGGGAGAGGGACAUGGAAAGAGACAAUGUGAGGACAUUUAA